UUAUUUUAUAUCUUUAAUAUUCCCAUUUCAAAUGCCCUCUCUUGCAUUAUAAAAACAAUGUCAGGGUUGCCUCAUUGUGAGUCACAUGACUAAAGUUUCACCAGUAUCAUGAGGGGACGUCCUUCCUCUCCAGCCCCUCAGGACAGUGAUCUAUACAUAGAGCCGCUGCUAUUGACCUUAUGCUUCUCUGUGAUGUAUAUUUAGGUGGGGUGUAAGUGUGUCUGGCCAGGAUUUGUGCACGUGUGUGAAGCGUGAAGGUCUCUUUCGGUGAAUCAUGAUCUCUGACAAUGAGAAGAAACGCCCGAGAUGAAGUUCAAGUCUCUGUGGACUGUAAUGAUUCAGACUUUUAUAUCCCUGCACUGCACUACAGUUCUCCGAAGUUAGAGGUAUCAACCAAGUAA